AAUAAAUAAAUAAUUUUUUUUAGCAUAGCUCCUUAUAUAUAUAUAUAUAUAGUGGAAAUGAGGGCUUUGCCAGGUUUUGUUCCAUUAUUGUCAUAUAACCAAUUAUGCUCAAAUUUGGCCUAAACAUUCUUUACAUAUCAAAGAAUAUUGUGGCCGAAUUUCAUAAAAUUUGGUCAACAAAAACCCCCCUGGCAAUAAUAGAACAAAACCUGCCAAAGCCGUCAUUUCCCCUAUAUAAAAAGUGGCUUCAAAAAGAAAUUCUCGCUUAACUUUUCAAAAGGACCUAAGUAACAUUUUUUUCAUGAAUUAAUUUGAGUACUGCAAUGGAAAGCUUUCAUGUUUUUCUGUUGAUUGCGCUAUUCAAAUUAAUUCAUGAAAAAAAUGUUACUUAGGUCCUUUUCAAAAGUUAAGCGAGAAAUUGAUUAAAAUGCAGAUGGGACUGACUUGCGAUUUACGGCAAAGUGUGGCUAUAUUAGUAGGACUACACUUUGCAAAGAUGCCAAAUAUAAAAGGUUUGGGUAAUGCAUGCACUGUGGCCACCACAUUGAACCAGUAAAAUGAAUGUUACAAGAUUUAACAGAAUUGGACGUCAACAACAUGCUCAAGUUGCUUGGACUGUAAACGUAAGCGUGAGAUCCACCAGAUUAAAAUGACUUAAAACUGUGUUUGCAUAAUCGCCAAGCAUUAUACUAACAAUGCGUGGCCCAUGUUAUUAAUUUUGAUCACUUUGAAAAGGUGGUUUUUGACCGUCUUUUAGAAGAUUAGUCCUAAUGUGUGAUGGUAUCACGUACAAAACCUCGUAACCAGGCUAGAUUCAAACUAGUGACGAUUCGAGAGACGGUUGCUUAGGACCAUCUUUGGCGGUGUGCAAGAAGACGGUAUGUGGCGGCGAAGAAUGAACCAUGAGCACGCUCAACUCUAUGGAGAACCCAGUAUCCAGAAGGUAACUAAAGCCGGAAGGGUACGAUGGGCAGGACAUGUUGCAAGAAUGCCGGACAGCAACCCUGCAAAGAUGGUGUUCGCUUCCGAUCCGGCAGGUACGAGACGGCGUGGAGCGCAGCGAGCGAGACCAGGUGCAAAACGACUUGGCGAGCGUGGGGCGUAUCCGAGGAUGGAGAGAUGCGGCCUCGAACAGUGUAUUGUGGCGUCAAAUUGUUGAUUCGGUGUUAUCUGUUUAGAUGUAGACUAAAUAAAUGAAAUGAAUAGUGACAGAGUUAUAAUGAAAAGGAGAAUAAAUUUAUAUUCAUAAGAAAUCAGCAACAUGUAUUACACUGUCUGUGAUCGCAUACCAGUUUUGUCGUUUUCGAGCUAGAAUCUGUAAUGGUCAUAUUCAUCAGAAUAUUAUCGAAUGCAACUGUUAAAUAAGAACACUUAUUCAGGAAAAAUCGAAAAAAAUAUCAAGCCAGUUUGUAUCAGAUAAAAAAUGACCGCAUGUGAGUCCCUUUUUCCUUGAUGUUUGUUCCUAAUUUUCUUCAUUCGAUGUUUAUUUCAUAUGGUACCAAUAUGCGAUCAUGGGCAGUAUAGUCAUUAGAAAAAACAGGGGAGAUGCUUCAGUCAAAUAUCUCAGAGUCAAAUCAAUUGAAUUAAGGGAAGACUAUGAGAGGAAACAAUGGGACAGGAUUCUGCGUCGAAUGCGAGCAAAUCGGUAAAGGAUAAGUGCAUAAAAAAUGAAUGAUUUUUUUAUACGUGUUUUGCGCACAGACAUAACCACAAUUCGUCGAGCUCCCUCUCAGCGUCGCCCUCGAUGGAUCGAGGUCGGGCGAAAAUAAACUUCUUCUUUUUCUCCCUUUUUACCGAAAAUCAAAGUCAUCAUGUUUUGACGUUUGUUAUUUACGAUGUAAGAGUAAAUGAAACAAAAGAUAUAGUUUUGAAAAGAGCAACUUCGAAUUUUUUUCUUCUUGCUCUUUUUGACUUUGCUUUGUGAACAAGUUGCUUUCGUUGUUCGGUUCGGUCUGGUCGCGAAAAAAGUGAAAAUCGACGAUUUUGGAAAAAAAAAAUGCGUCUCAUUCCGGGAAAUAUAACUCCGAAGAGGAAGAACCGGUAGAAUCUGUGUCACCGUUACCGUUAAUUCUGCGGGAAGCUCAUCGGGAAGUCCUCCGGGUGAAACGCUAAUUCCACCAGGGAUUGAGAUUAACGGGGAAAACUUAAUGUACCUGUCCGACCAGGAGAAUGCUUACUCGGAUCAGUAAAUGGAUGACGAGAGAAACAUGACGUGAUUUGUUUCGGCUUUUUUGGUAAGGAGAAACUGAAGUACCGUAAAAGGGCCCCCAGAAUGAAGAGCGCAGCAACGAGUUUUAAUAGUAAGUUGUAUUUUCUGUCAAAACCUGCCGCUGCCACUGCGCUAACCAUGCUGGAUGGACCGGAACCUCACCGAAGUUGCAACAGCUUUAAACGCCGGUAUCCAAGCAGCAGCAAAGAUGUUUGCCGAUCGCAGAUCGCAAAUCUAUGGGCAGCCCACAAGCUGUCGUGUCGUUCGGGAGUGAAAUCUACGAUGCCGGAUGCCUGAAAUUAAUCAACGAACAAUCCACGUCUAUACGUUGGCUGGGUCUUACGUACACAGUAAGGAGUUCAGUCAGGACAAAGUCCGUCGUGCUGCUAUCUAUGUAGAGGAUCAAAUAGUAGAAUAAAAAACCCCUGAAGUGACUUCACAGGACGCCUCUGGAAAAAGGAGCAUUACAAGUAAUGUUCGUUGGAUGCUUUUCCGAUAUGGCCACGGUUACGAUUCGCUUCGCCUGUUAAGGGAAGGAGAUCUCCCACGUAUUUCUGAUGGAACCGGAGACCAAGCUGUUCUCUGCUAACCUUUUUGAAGCCACAAGCAAACCUCCAAAUGGAACUAGGUCGUACUCCAAGUUACUUAGCCGUUUGUCAGCUGCAGUUCUUCCAACGAGGUUGACGGUUGAGAUGAAUCUGCUGCACAACCGGGAUCCGAUCGGCGUCUCCAUUAAAAAUAUGUUCUUGUAAGUAUCAGCUGCGUGAAUUUCGGAAAGUAAUUAACUAACGACCGCUUUCUCGAAUUGUAGGCCGUUGGUCAAGCUUAUUGACAGACUAUCGAACGCUAUCUACAUUUCUUGCGCUUCUGUGUUUGGGUCAACGAUGAAAGCGUAGAGGAGAACGCUAAUCUUGUCAUUUGUCUGUUGAUCCGAUGUACGGAAUGCUUGGGUCCGAAAAUUUCAAGGCGUAGAAAGAAGCAGGAUGAGGCGGAAGAUACGAUCACUGGUCUGGGCUUCUCGCAUCCUCUUUCAGAGAGAGAGAUGACGACAAAGAUUACAUGAAUACCAGAGCUGCCGUUCUGUGCUUCUAUUGAACGCUGGUGAAUCCGUUGGGCCGUUGUGUACCGCAUGCAUCGGUGAUAAAAGAAGGCAAAAACGAAUCAUUGCGAGCUCUGCCAUUCUACGCUCCUUGGUACCGCUGGAAGAUUUUCGAGUAGUUCUGGUUUUGUUCACAUUGACUAACACGGCGAAGGAAGGCCAAAGUCCGCGGUUCCAGAUGGCUCCAGUGAAGCCGGUGGACCUCUUCCAAACAAUUCAAACAACAAUGUUGUCGGCGAGCGUACAGCCUCUUUCAAUGAUUCCUGCGAUCGACAACUUCUGGACGGACCCGAAGGGUGAAUUCGAGAGCAAUGUUGUAAAUACGUAGCCCUAACUGAUGGGUAAAAAUGCAGCCGGUGCGAUCAAGUUGCUCUGUACUGUAGAAUGUAUACGUGCCUAAACUAGUGCAUGGCUUAGCUGUUUCCCGUUUUUCUGCGCAUUUCAAAAACUAUCCGGUGCACACAAAACACACCCUAUCGAGGAUCCAUCAAAGCGCACAACUUCGGACGGACUGUUUUCAUCGUUUCGGCAUACUGAAUUCCUCCCUCCGUCACCGACAUACGAUGGAUUUCAUCUGGCAGAGAGGAUCCCUAACUGAACUGGAUUUGUCGUCUGCAGAUGAUGCUUGGUCCUGAUCCCGGAAGAGCACCACAUUCAAAACCAAAUGAUGACGAUGAUGGAUGACGACAUAUGAUGUUUAAGAUGGAUCGAUGCAUAACGGCCCUACUUACUACAUUAACAUUUUGAUGAUAAUAAUUGUUCUUAUUGUAGCCCUAAUGUAUAAUUAUUUAUUAAUAAACGAUGAUUAAAAAAAGUCA